UUAGAGUUUGAUCCUGGCUCAGGACGAACGCUGGCGGCGUGCCUAAUGCAUGCAAGUCGAACGCAGCAGCUUCGGCUGGCUGCGUGGCGAACGGCUGAGGAACACGUGGGUGACCUGCCCCAGAGUGGGGGAUACCCCGUCGAAAGACGGGAUAAUCCCGCAUACGCUCUACGGAGGAAAGCCCCGACGGGCGCUCUGGGAGGGGCCUGCGGCCCAUCAGGUAGUUGGUGUGGUAACGGCGCACCAAGCCUCUGACGGGUACCCGGUCUGAGAGGACGGCCGGGCAGACUGGGACUGCGACACGGCCCAGACUCCUACGGGAGGCAGCAGAAGGG
rnacentral:rRNA from 1 species